UCAAUCUCGUGCGGCUAUAUAUACCGCCGGUCCCUCUAAGAAGAUUCAUAUGAGAACGCCGAUAGUGAAAACUGUGUCCCGAGAGACACUGUCCUCUAGAUAUCGGUAAAUCGUCUAUUUAAUAGGCUAGAGUUACGUUCGUUAC
rnacentral:rRNA from 1 species